rnacentral:rRNA from 1 species
UAGCAUAUCAAUAAGCGGAGGAAAAGAAACUAACAAGGAUUCCCCUAGUAACUGCGAAGUGAAGCGGGAAAAGCUCAAAUUUAAAAUCUGGCGGCUCUGCCGUCCGAGUUGUAAUCUGGAGAAGUGUUUUCCGCGUUGGACCGUGUACAAGUCUCUUGGAACGGAGCGUCAUUGAGGGUGAGAACCCCGUCUCUGACACGGACUGCCAAUGCUUUGUGAUACACUCUCGAAGAGUCGAGUUGUUUGGGAAUGCAGCUCAAAAUGGGUGGUAAAUUCCAUCUAAAGCUAAAUAUUGGCGAGAGACCGAUAGCGAACAAGUACCGUGAGGGAAAGAUGAAAAGCACUUUGGAAAGAGAGUUAAACAGUACGUGAAAUUGUUGAAAGGGAAACGCUUGAAGUCAGUCGCGUCUUCCGGGACUCAGCCUUGCUCUUGCUUGGUGUACUUCCCGGUCGAUGGGUCAACAUCGGUUUUGGUCGGUGGAUAAAGGCUUGGGGAAUGUGGCACCUCCGGGUGUGUUAUAGCCCCUUGUUGUAUACGCUGGCUGGGACCGAGGACUGCAGCACGCCUUCUAGGCCGGGGGAUCCGUCCCCACGUAACGUGCUCCGGAUGUUGGCAUAAUGGCUUUAAGCGACCCGUCUUGAAACACGGACCAAGGAGUCUAACAUGCCCGCGAGUGUUAGGGUGGCAAACCCUUGCGCGUAAUGAAAGUGAAAGUUGGGACCUCUGUUGUGGGGGGCACCGACGCCCGGACCUGAUCUCUUGUGACGGCCCUGCGGUAGAGCGUGUAUGUUGGGACCCGAAAGAUGGUGAACUAUGCCUGAACAGGGUGAAGCCAGAGGAAACUCUGGUGGAGGCUCGUAGCGAUUCUGACGUGCAAAUCGAUCGUCAAAUUUGGGUAUAGGGGCGAAAGACUAAUCGAACCAUCUAGUAGCUGGUUCCUGCCGAU